AACCAAGAGCAAGUCCACUAAGAGGGUUAUCAGGAAGAAACCAAUGAGCACUCCUUUGAAUCAUCGCGCAAGGAUAGUCAACACCUGAACUCAAUAACAUGUCAGACAGAUUUCUAUUGACUUCUGAAUGCCUAAAAGGGUCACUUAUUCCGUCCAUCGCAGCGUAAUCCAUGGAAUGCAAUACCUUGCCAUCGAAGACUUCUGGCCCUUGAUUCAGAGGAAACUCAGCUCCUGUAGGUGCUGACCAUCAACCAGCAAGCUGGUACCAAGGAAAUGCCAGAGAAGGUGCUGGACACUUUCACUAGAAAAGAAGAAACUCAAGUAGCAGCAACUAUCAGAUACAGUGCAGCUCCUGUAGGUGCUGACCAUCAACCAGCAAGCUGGUACCAAGGAAAUGCCACAGAAGGUGCUGGACACUUUCACUAGAAAAGAAGAAACUCAAGUAGCAGCAACUAUCAGAUACAGUUGUUACUCAGCUCAAGGGCUUGUGAACUGAAAAACUUCUAUUAGAUGUAACUAAUCUCCAGUAAAGAUAUACAAAUCUAUAGAUAAUUAAUCCGUAAAUACGAUAUAAAGGAGAUACAAAAUCAAGAGGACGGAACUACAA